rnacentral:snRNA from 1 species
GAGCUCAUUUUCCUAGCACAUAUAAUAAAAUUGAAAUGAUACAGAGAAGGUGGACAUGGCCCCUCUGCAUGGAUAACAUGCAAAUUUGUUUUCUAUAUUUUC